rnacentral:rRNA from 1 species
CCUACGGGUGGCAGCAGUGGGGAAUAUUGCACAAUGGGGGAAACCCUGAUGCAGCGACGCCGCGUGAGUGAAGAAGUAAUUCGUUACGUAAAGCUCUAUCAGCAGGGAAGAAAAUGACGGUACCUGAGUAUGAAGCCCCGGCUAACUACGUGCCAGCAGCCGCGGUAAUACGUAGGGGGCAAGCGUUAUCCGGAUUUACUGGGUGUAAAGGGUGCGUAGACGGUUAGCCAAGUCUGGAGUGAAAUGCCGCAGCUUAACUGCGGAACUGCUUUGGAAACUGGCGAACUAGAGUGCGGGAGGGGUAAGCGGAAUUCCUAGGGGAGCGGGGAAAGGCGUAGAUAUUAGGAGGAACACCGGUGGCGAAGGCGGCUUACUGGACCGUAACUGACGUUGAGGCUCGAAAGCGUGGGGAGCAAACAGGAUUAGAUACCCGAGUAGUC